UUUUGGUUCUAUGGUUUAUUACGCUUUGCUCUGGCUUGUGAAAUUAUUUAUGCAUUUUGUUUUGCAGUCAGCGUUUAUUAGUUGCAAUUUGCUUGCGGCCAAAGUUGUUCGCCAGCAAGUAGUCAAACGAAUUAAAUAAUUUACUACAAAAGAAAUUGAUAAAAUGGGCAAAAACAAAGGCGGAGGAGGUGGUGGAGGAGGUGGCGGUGGAGGUUCUGCUGGCGGAGGCGGUGGGGGCGGCAAUGUAAGCAAUAUUUGUGUUAUGCAACUCGCGUUUUAAUUAAAAAAGGUAGCAACGCCAGCGGCUCAGGUGGUGGAGGCGGUGGCGGUGGCAAAAAACAAAGCAGUUGCUGACAAAGGUGGAGCAAAGAAAGGACAGGAGCAAAAGGCAGCUGCAGGAGGUGGAGGCGGAGGUGGUAAAAAAGGAGGAAAAAAAUAGCGAACAGACGACAUCAAAGCGCAUUAAAUUACAAUUUUAAGAAUAAAUAUAUAUUUGCAACUAUACAUAUGUAUAUCCUAAGUCGAAAAGAUAUAUUAAAUAACAUGAUUUUUAAGUA